CAGCAGUUUCGAAUCAUUCACAAUGGGCGAAAGCCUGAUGGUGCGACGCCGCGUGAGGGAUGAAGGCCUUCGGGUUGUAAACCUCUGUCACCGGGGAAGAAACGCUUCAAGUUAACAGCUUGAAGCCUGACUUAACCCGGAGAGGAAGCAGUGGCUAACUCUGUGCCAGCAGCCGC
rnacentral:rRNA from 1 species